UCUAAUGUUGUGCUCUCCGUCUACUGCCUCUCGGCCAUUGUCCUCAUCCGCGAGUCCGACGUUUCUUUCAAGAUCACGGCGGUUUACGGCCCUUCAAAUUCUUCAUGCAAAAAGGCCUUCUUUGCGGAGCUCCUAACUCAAAAGCCACCUCGUGGGAUCAAAUGGCUUGCCCUGGGUGACUUCAACCAAAUUCACCGUGCUCGCGACAAGAAUAACCGAAAUUUCAAUCGUGGCCGUAUCAACCGCUUCCGUAACACCCUCCACGCGUGCGAGCUCAAUGAGAUUCACCUGCAGAACCGCCGGUUCACUUGGAGCAACGAGCGAAACAAC
rnacentral:rRNA from 1 species